rnacentral:rRNA from 1 species
GACGAACGCUGGCGGCGUGCUUAACACAUGCAAGUCGAACGGACGGACCCUGCUCUUGUGGCGUUCUCGUUUGGCGCACGGGUGAGUAACACGUGAGUAUCCUCCCCUUAUCAUUGUGAUAACUUCUGGGAACUCGGGCUCCAACCGGAUAGGAUCUCCUGAUCCAUGGUGGUGGUUGGAAAGAUUCGGCGGUUGGGGCUGGACUCGAGGGUUAUCAGCUUGAUGGGGGGGUAGUGGCUGACGAAGGCUUUGACGGGUAGCCUGCCUGAGAGGGUUGACGGGGACCAUGGGCCUAAGAGAGGGAGCAGACGGGUACGGUAGGCAGCGGUCGGGAAUAUGGCACAGUGGGGGGAAGCCUGAGGCAGCAAUGCCGCGUGCGGGAUGAUGGCCUUCGGGUUGUAAACAGCUUUCGCCGGAGAUGAAGCGUGAGUGACGGUAAUGGGUAAAGAAGCACCGGCUAACUACGUG